AUGGUUUUCAUUCUCAUAUUCGGAGUUCUGAAUAAAUGUGUGAUGUUAUGUUUCUCCUUGCCUUUCGCGAUCCGAACUGCCGCCUGAUUCUCGUUUGCUCAUCGCUAGUAACCACCUCGGUGAUUCCGGAAUAAUCCUGUUUUGCGAAACGUCAAUUCUUAACAACUGAUGUGUUGAAAUUCAUACUUCGCAAAUUGUUUUACCAAAAAUAGCUUUCCGCUAAUUUAUAAGAAAAUUUAUGCACACACACCAAUAGUACGCUAAUAAAAAAAUUGAUGGUA